GACGUAGGGGGCCAGCGUUGUUCGGAAUUACUGGGUGUAAAGGGUUCGUAGGCGGUGUGGCAAGUCGGGAGUGAAAUCUCUGGGCUCAACUCAGAGACUGCUUUCGAAACUGCUGUGCUGGAGUGUGGGAGAGGCGCGUGGAAUUGCAGGUGUAGCGGUGAAAUGCGUAGAUAUCUGCAGGAACACCCGUGGCGAAAGCGGCGCGCUGGGCCACUACUGACGCUGAGGAACGAAAGCGUGGGGAGCAAACAGG
rnacentral:rRNA from 1 species